UUGCACCUAGAGUGCCUUAUGUCUGGUUUAAGAAAAGGUUCUCACAUAUACUUCUAUUGAUUUAGUUUGUCACCACUGAUUAUCCAAAGGUAAGCAACGGAAUAUUGUACCUGAAGACCUCCGUCUCUUAUAAUAACCUAGUAGCGUCAAACCACCUGUAAACCCUUGCUUAAUGGGAAAAUGUGAAUUGGAGUGGAAAAUAUAUAGGAUUUUCUGCAACUCAAAUAGGCUC
rnacentral:lncRNA from 1 species